GGAUGUGAGGGCAAUCUGGCUGCAGCAUCUGUCACCCCAUUGAUCGCCAGGGCUGAUUUGGCUGAUCUGGCUGGCUAGGCGGGUGUCCCCUUCCUCCCUCACCGCUCCAUGUGCGUCCCUCCCAAAGCUGUGCGCUUGGUCAAAGAGGACAGCCUUCCCUGAAUAGAGACGGACCGUCUUCCCGUCAAGGGUAUACGAGUAGCUGCGCUCCCCUGCUAGAACCUCCAAACAAGCUGUCAAGGUUCAUGGGGAGAUGAGAGGUCAUGCUUAUGUGCUAGUAACUGUACUGUAAACCAUUA
ensembl:misc_RNA 7SK 7SK RNA